rnacentral:tRNA from 1 species
UGGGGCUGGGGCUCAGUGGUAGAGUGUUUGCCUGGCACACAUAAGGCACUGGGUUCAAUCCUCAGCACCACAA